rnacentral:snoRNA from 1 species
ACCAUGAAGUAUUGCAGGUGUGGCUGCGGUAUCACACGUGCAUCCCUAGGUGGCAGGGAGGAAUGAGAGAGGCUAUGUCUACACUCAGUGUUCUGACCUAGGAACAUCUGAAUGAUUAGCAACUUAAAAUU